rnacentral:rRNA from 1 species
AUACGGAGGGAGCAAGCGUUAUUCGGAAUCACUGGGCGUAAAGGACGCGUAGGCGGGUUUGUAAGUCAGGUGUGAAAUCCUACAGCUCAACUGUAGAACUGCACUUGAAACUACAGACCUAGAGUAUGGAAGGGGCAGAUGGAAUUGUGGUGUAGGGGUAAAAUCCGUAGAUAUCACUAGGAAUACCGAAAGCGAAGGCGAUCUGCUGGGACAUUACUGACGCUGAGGCGUGAAAGCGUGGGGAGCAAACAGGAUUAGAAACCCUAGUAGUCC